rnacentral:rRNA from 1 species
UUGACGGGGGCCCGCACAAGCGUGGAGCAUGUGGUUUAAUUCGAAGCAACGCGAAGAACCUUACCAGGUCUUGACAUCCCGAUGCUAUUUCUAGAGAUAGAAAGUUACUUCGGUACAUCGGUGACAGGUGGUGCAUGGUUGUCGUCAGCUCGUGUCGUGAGAUGUUGGGUUAAGUCCCGCAACGAGCGCAACCCCUAUUGUUAGUUGCCAUCAUUCAGUUGGGCACUCUAGCGAGACUGCCGGUAAUAAACCGGAGGAAGGUGGGGAUGACGUCAAAUCAUCAUGCCCCUUAUGACCUGGGCUACACACGUGCUACAAUGGUUGGUACAACGAGUUGCGAGUCGGUGACGGCGAGCUAAUCUCUUAAAGCCAAUCUCAGUUCGGAUUGUAGGCUGCAACUCGCCUACAUGAAGUCGGAAUCGCUAGUAAUCGCGGAUCAGCACGCCGCGGUGAAUACGUUCCCGGGCCUU